UACGUAGGCAGCGAGCGUUGUUCGGAGUUACUGGGCGUAAAGAGUGCGUAGGCGGUGCUCCAAGUCUGGUGUGAAAUCUCCCGGCUUAACCGGGAGGGUGCGCCGGAAACUGGGGUGCUGGAGUGUGGGAGAGGUAAGCGGAAUUCCCGGUGUAGCGGUGAAAUGCGUAGAUAUCAGGAGGAACACCGAUGGCGAAGGCAGGUCUCUGGGCAUUAACUGACGCUGAGGAGCGAAAGCAUGGGGAGCGAACAGG
rnacentral:rRNA from 1 species